rfam:Ovis aries breed Texel chromosome 3, whole genome shotgun sequence.
UCUCUGGUGGCUCAGAUGGUAAAGAAUCUGCCUGCAAUGCAGGAGACCCGGGUUUGAUCCCUGGCUUGGGGA